GAUGAACGCUGGCGGCGUGCCUAAUACAUGCAAGUCGAGCGAACGGACGAGAAGCUUGCUUCUCUGAUGUUAGCGGCGGACGGGUGAGUAACACGUGGAUAACCUACCUAUAAGACUGGGAUAACUUCGGGAAACCGGAGCUAAUACCGGAUAAUAUUUUGAACCGCAUGGUUCAAAAGUGAAAGACGGUCUUGCUGUCACUUAUAGAUGGAUCCGCGCUGCAUUAGCUAGUUGGUAAGGUAACGGCUUACCAAGGCAACGAUGCAUAGCCGACCUGAGAGGGUGAUCGGCCACACUGGAACUGAGACACGGUCCAGACUCCUACGGGAGGCAGCAGUAGGGAAUCUUCCGCAAUGGGCGAAAGCCUGACGGAGCAACGCCGCGUGAGUGAUGAAGGUCUUCGGAUCGUAAAACUCUGUUAUUAGGGAAGAACAUAUGUGUAAGUAACUGUGCACAUCUUGACGGUACCUAAUCAGAAAGCCACGGCUAACUACGUGCCAGCAGCUGCGGUAAUACGUAGGUGGCAAGCGUUAUCCGGAAUUAUUGGGGGUAAAGCGCGCGUAGGCGGUUUUUUAAGUCUGAUGUGAAAGCCCACGGCUCAACCGUGGAGGGUCAUUGGAAACUGGAAAACUUGAGUGCAGAAGAGGAAAGUGGAAUUCCAUGUGUAGCGGUGAAAUGCGCAGAGAUAUGGAGGAACACCAGUGGCGAAGGCGACUUUCUGGUCUGUAACUGACGCUGAUGUGCGAAAGCGUGGGGAUCAAACAGGAUUAGAUACCCUGGUAGUCCACGCCGUAAACGAUGAGUGCUAAGUGUUAGGGGGUUUCCGCCCCUUAGUGCUGCAGCUAACGCAUUAAGCACUCCGCCUGGGGAGUACGACCGCAAGGUUGAAACUCAAAGGAAUUGACGGGGACCCGCACAAGCGGUGGAGCAUGUGGUUUAAUUCGAAGCAACGCGAAGAACCUUACCAAAUCUUGACAUCCUUUGACAACUCUAGAGAUAGAGCCUUCCCCUUCGGGGGACAAAGUGACAGGUGGUGCAUGGUUGUCGUCAGCUCGUGUCGUGAGAUGUUGGGUUAAGUCCCGCAACGAGCGCAACCCUUAAGCUUAGUUGCCAUCAUUAAGUUGGGCACUCUAAGUUGACUGCCGGUGACAAACCGGAGGAAGGUGGGGAUGACGUCAAAUCAUCAUGCCCCUUAUGAUUUGGGCUACACACGUGCUACAAUGGACAAUACAAAGGGCAGCGAAACCGCGAGGUCAAGCAAAUCCCAUAAAGUUGUUCUCAGUUCGGAUUGUAGUCUGCAACUCGACUACAUGAAGCUGGAAUCGCUAGUAAUCGUAGAUCAGCAUGCUACGGUGAAUACGUUCCCGGGUCU
rnacentral:rRNA from 1 species